AAAUAUUUUGAACUAUCCAGAGGUAUUGAAAAAGGUAAGAGAUGAAGUGGAUACUCAUGUAGGACAAGAUCGUUUGGUUGAUGAAUCAGACCUUCCGAAACUAACUUACCUAAGAAAUGUUAUCUACGAGACCCUUCGAUUGUAUACUCCUGCUCCAUUGUUAUUACCACACUCAACUGCAGAUGAGUGCAUUAUGGGAGGAUACAAAGUUCCGCGCGACACCAUAGUAUUGAUCAAUGCUUGGGCCAUUCAUAGAGACCCUGAAACAUGGAGUGAAGCCACAACUUUCAAGCCGGAGAGGUUCGACAAAAAAGGAGAGUUGGAGAAGAU
rnacentral:lncRNA from 1 species